AUUGAACGCUGGCGGCAGGCCUAACACAUGCAAGUCGAACGGUAGCACAGAGAGCUUGCUCUCGGGUGACGAGUGGCGGACGGGUGAGUAACGUCUGGGAAACUGCCCGAUGGAGGGGGGUAACUACUGGAAACGGUAGCUAAUACCGCAUAACGUCGCAAGACCAAAGUGGGGGACCUUCGGGCCUCACACCCUCGGAUGUGCCCAGAUGGGAUUAGCUAGUAGGUGGGGUAAUGGCUCACCUAGGCGACGAUCCCUAGCUGGUCUGAGAGGGUGACCAGCCACACUGGAACUGCGACACGGUCCAGACUCCUACGGGAGGCAGCAGUGGGGAAUAUUGCACAAUGGGCGCAAGCCUGAUGCAGCCAUGCCGCGUGUAUGAAGAAGGCCUUCGGGUUGUAAAGUACUUUCAGCGGGGAGGAAGGCGGUGAAGUUAAUAGCUUCACCGAUUGACGUUACCCGCAGAAGAAGCACCGGCUAACUCCGUGCCAGCAGCCGCAGUAA
rnacentral:rRNA from 1 species